UACGUAGGCAGCAAGCGUUGUUCGGAGUUACUGGGCGUAAAGGGUGCGUAGGCGGCUUUUUAAGUUUGGUGUGAAAUCUCCCGGCUCAACUGGGUGGGUGCGCCGAAUACUGAGAGGCUAGAGUGUGGGAGAGGAAAGUGGAAUUCCUGGUGUAGCGGUGAAAUGCGUAGAUAUCGGGAGGAACACCGGUGGCGAAGGCGGCGAUCUGGGUCGAUACUGACGCUGAGGUGCGAAAGCGUGGGGAGCAAACAGG
rnacentral:rRNA from 1 species